AAAAUAGCGUUGACAAGGAGGAGUACAUACUCACCGGAAGCAAAGAGAGAAGAUGGUUGGUGGAAAUCUUCGUGAAGGAGGUAUGGAAGUAGCCUUUGAGCUGUGAACCGAAAGGAGCGAUCCCAGUAGGCUUCAACGGAGAUUUCCACCGUUACAGGGAAAGCGAUAUCGGAUAAGUUAACAGGUUUGAGAUUAUCCCGUAUUGACAGAGUGCAGAUAGUUUAUCUGAAUUUAGGUGGUACCGCGGACGCAUGUAAUCCGCCCUAAGC
rnacentral:ncRNA from 1 species